GUGGCAUUUCAUUUAUCGGAUAAGUUUUACUACUCUAUUUUAUUUCCAAAUUUUUUCUCUCUCUCUUCUUUCGACUUCCCCUAGAAACGAAAAAAAAUGGAACCCUAGAUUUAGUUUCAAUCUUCUUCGGCGGAUUUGAUUCAGUCGGGGGUUUGAUUCUAAUAUCUCGAUUUCGUUUUGGAGGAUUCUCAUCUCAGAUCCGAUACUAUUUUAUCCAAUAUUCAUCUCGAUUUCAAUCUUAACUUUCCCAAUUUUCUUCUUCUUCUGCUGGUGUCGCUGGAGCUGCGGAUCGAAGUUUUGAGAUUGUGCACUACUAUUUGCGAGACGUUAAUUUCCUUGCUGGAUUCACUUGUACAUCAUCUACUCUCAUUUUGCUUCAACCUAAUUGCAUCUGAAGACCUAUUCAGGAAGUGGUGACUUUUUAUCCUCUCAUUCGAUCAACUUAGCAGGGGAGGAUGCUUGCUGGAUUCACUUGUAAAUCAUAUACUCUCAUUUAGCUUCAACCUAAUUGCAACUGAAGACCUGUUCAGUUGAUUACAGUUUGGUGUUUUGAUGAGAUAUGUUUGUCAAGGGGAACAAAGGAGUGUGUACAAUCUAGCAGUUCCCUGCAGUUAACCACAAAUGCAAUAAACGAAAACGUAACACUUCCACAGAUGAGGUAGCUGACAGUGAAAGGCUAUAUCCUAGUGAUGCAGUUGGUAAACCAUAUCGGUUGUCUAGUAUUCAUAUCCAACAAGUGCGUAAAUCAAAAUAUUGUAAUGUUUGAGCACUUCAUUCAUUAGCAACUGCAAGCAGAUUAUAUUCGACAAAUUUGGGCGCCCUUGUGAUAUCGGUUCAGAACAAUUUGUGACAGAAAUUGGAAAGAUAGUAUGGGCACAUUCUCGUCCUGCAAUUGAUUCUUGGACGGUUGUUUCAGAAAGCAUCAAAGACGAUAUAUGGAACAACGUCGCUGUUAAGUACGAGGUAGCUGAAAUUUAUAAGCCUAACAUACUGACGAAGGCGAACGUUUUUUGGAGAAACUGGAAGCAUCAGCUUCGACAUGUGUUGGAUAAGUAUGACACUAUUGCCGAGAUGAAAAGAAAUAUGCCUGAACGCUUAAUUGCAAAAACAGAAGAUUGGGAAAGUUUUGUUGAUUUCUGCAAUACUGAUGAGGAUAAGAAACGUCGUGCAGCUGGUAGAAAGGCUAGAGAAUCUGUUGAGCUACUACAAUCAUGUUGCAGGAAAGGAAUUCUCGCACAAUAUACGACCUGGAAAAGGAGAGUCCAACGGGUGAAAUUAACAGAUUGUGGUGUUUGCGACAACCUAUGUAACCAUGACCAUAAAUGAUCCCGCAUCCACAUCCGCCUCUGAUGUUAAAAUUGUAAGACUAAAUCAAAUUCUUAUGAUUUUAGGAAAAUUAAAGAACUCGUAGAUGCUGAUCCAAAAGGUCAGAAUGAUAUCGACAAUGAUGCUAUUGCUAAGACAUGUGGGCGUGAUCAAAAAGGUUAUGUACGAGAAAUGGGAGGAGGUGUUACCAAGACCCAGAUGCAUGCUUCGGCAUUAAGUAGAGAGACUCUUCGUAAAGUACAACAAGAAAACAGAAGUAUGCGGUCUCGUACUCCAAACACAAGUUGGGACACUCGUGCAAAGAUGUAUUUCAUCGUCAUCGUCAUCUAAUCAGGCGCCCGAUGAGUCCAACCUGCCUGCUGCUAGCAACUGCUUCAUUAAAAACUUUAGAGGGAGAACCAUUGCUUUGGGAACUUUCAAUAAUGCUGCUACCCCAAUGGAGCAUGUGUAUAUAUGUGUUGAAGAAAUAUUUGACAGAGAUGCAGAAUUAUAUGAUGAAGAUGGAACUCUUGGUGAUAUCAUGCUUGGGCAGGUGAUCAAUUGGCCGAAAGGAAGUGUUCAUCCUUAUCGGUAAUAAACCAUGUCACUGUAGUUUUAGACUUUAGCACCGUAGUUUCGAAAGAAUUUACUCUUCUUGUCUGUUGUGGACUUUUCUUAUGCCGUCUUGUUGGAUGUUGUUUGGACGAAGAAUCCGUUUGAGGUUAAACAUUUACGAUUUAUGGAAAUUUAUUUUGAAGUUAAGAA